UUGGAAUCUCAAAUCGACCUCAGCCAACAAAAACCCAACUCGGUAUUGAAACUGCCAACCGCACAAAUUUAAAACCAGUACCAAUAGACUCAGAACUUUGAAUCACGAAUUUCAAACUUAAACUCCAUUUUACCCAUACCCGAGGAUUGUUCCGAUGGCUUUCGCCGCCUGAAUGGUACCAACAGUGAUGGGGUGAUCGGGUUUUAUGAUUUUGAUGGAGGUGGAGCUGAUAUUCAUAUCGCCGGAGUCCCAGUGAGCUCCAACAGUGACAGACAGACAGAGUAUGAUUCAUAUCUCAGGCAAAACAGUGGUUCCCGGUGAGAUUUCACCGGAACCAAUACCCCCACCGUCGUUUCUCUAUUCUCUCUCACUUACACUCAGAUUUUUCUUAUUUUCCUCCCAAAUUUAUCACACCCUCUCUCUUUUAGCUGCUCUCUCCCAUCUCUCUCACUCCCUCGAUCCUCCACUGUGUGUGUGCCUAUCGUGUGUAUGCUGUGUGCAUUUUAUUCUCUGGUGAGGUGUGAUGGUGAGUGAUCUUAUGAGUGUCAUGGGAUCUGAUGGAGAGUAUUUUUUAUGAAGAAGAAAGUGAAUUUUUUGAAAGUGAAAAUUGAAAAAUAGAGUCUCCCUGGUUGUGCAUAUGUAUGGAGAAGAAGGGUGAAUGGAAUUCUUGUUUUGUUGUGGGGCCCGUGAGUGUAUGUGAGGUCUCCUUUUUGAAUGUAGUGUGUUGUAUAUAUUUGUUUUCAAUGUGUAAGAAUGGAAGUUGGCCAAUAUUCCCUGUGGGCCCCUGUGUGUCUAUGAAUGCCCAAAUCCAAAAAUAGAAAAAUCCUCCCUGCGUAUUGAUGAGAAUGUGUGUAUUUGUGUGGGACACGCGAGUGGGGUGAGGGUUAAGGGUAGGUGUCCUAAUUUAAUUGAAGAGGUUGUCAAGAUAUGAUUAAAAUAAGAUAAAAUUUAUUAAGGGUUAUUAUUUUUGUCAUUUUAUGGAGGGAUAAUUACAUGGUUGAGGGUACACAAUAGGAUAAGGUAAAAAUAUUAAAAUUAAUCUUUU
rnacentral:lncRNA from 1 species